rnacentral:rRNA from 1 species
UACUAAGUUUCAACAACGGAUCUCUUNGCUCUCGCAUCGAUGAAGAACGCAGCGAAAUGCGAUAAGUAAUGUGAAUUGCAGAAUUCAGUGAAUCAUCGAAUCUUU